rnacentral:sRNA from 1 species
GCUAGGCAGGGUGGUGCAUACCUGUAAUUCCAACAACUUGAGAGGCUGAGACAGGAGGAUUGUUAAAUUCAAAGCCAGCCUGUGCAGUUUAGCAAGAUCCUGUCUCCA